GGAUAGAGGCCUACCAUGGUGGUAACGGGUAACGGGGUGUUAGGGCACGACACCGGAGAGGGAGCCUGAGAAACGGCUACCACAUCCAAGGAUGGCAGCAGGCGCGCAAAUUACCCAAUCCCGACACGGGGAGGUAGUGACAAUAAAUAACAAUACGGGGUUCUUUCGGAUCUCGUAAUUGGAAUGAGUACAAUUUAAAUCUCUUAACGAGGAACAAUUGGAGGGCAAGUCUGGUGCCAGCAGCCGCGGUAAUUCCAGCUCCAAUAGCGUAUAUUAAAGUUGUUGCAGUUAAAAAGCUCGUAGUUGAAUUUCGGGGUUAGUAGGUUGGUCAUGCCUCUGGUAUGUACUGGUCUCACUGAUUCCUCCUUCCUUAUGAACCGUAAUGCCAUUAAUUUGGUGUUGCGGGGAAUUUGGACUGUUACUUUGAAAAAAUUAGAGUGUUUAAAGCAAGCUAACGCUUGAAUACAUUAGCAUGGAAUAAUGAAAUAGGACGUUCGAUCUUAUUUUGUUGGUUUCUAGGAUUGACGUAAUGAUUAAUAGGGAUAGUUGGGGGCAUUAGUAUUCAAUUGUCAGAGGUGAAAUUCUUGGAUUUAUUGAAGACUAACUACUGCGAAAGCAUUUGCCAAGGAUGUUUUCAUUAAUCAAGAACGAAAGUUAGGGGAUCGAAGACGAUCAGAUACCGUCGUAGUCUUAACCAUAAACUAUGCCGACUAGGGAU
rnacentral:rRNA from 1 species